CAUUCCAUCGAACAAACGCGCGUCAGAAUGCCGAGCAGCUGAUCCAGGCGCGCGUCUAAAAAUAAUCAACUUUAUUCUCCCCGGAAUGAAAAUUUGUCCGUGAGGAUUGCGGGACUUCUGUCUUCUUGUUGAGCGCGGCCAUGGGCUUGUCGUUUUGCGGCGAGAACGAGAGCGGCUACAGCGUGGACGAGGGCGUGCUGAACAACGGCUGCUUCGUGGACGCCCUCAACCUGGUGCCUCACGUCUUCCUGCUCUUCAUCACCUUCCCCAUCCUCUUCAUCGGAUGGGGCAGUCAGAGCUCCAAGGUGCAAAUCCAUCACAACACGUGGCUGCACUUCCCGGGACACAACCUGCGAUGGAUCCUCACCUUCUCGCUGCUCUUUGUCCACGUCUGCGAGUUCGCCGAGGGCGUGGUGUCCAACAAGAUGAUGGUCACCAACCACCUGCACCUCUUCAUGCCAGCCUUCAUGGGAUUUGUGGCGGCCACCACGUCGGUGGUGUACUACCACAACAUUGAGACCUCCAACUUCCCCAAACUUCUCCUGGGUGAGAUUUGCGUUACAAUGCUAGAAAUCGUGGGGGGGUCCAAAGCGCACUCCCGAUUGUCGUCCGCAGUUCUAUUCAUCUACUGGGUGCUGGCCUUCAUCACCAAAUCCAUCAAGCUGUGGAAGUUUGCCGAGGACAAGGUGGACGUCCACCAGCUGAGAGUCUGCAUCACGGCGCUGCUGGUGCUGCUCUACGGCCUGCUCAUGGCCGUGGAGGUCAACGUGAUCAGGAUCAGGAAGUACGUCUUCUUCGCCAACCCUCAGAAGGUGAAGCCCCCCGAAGACUUGCAGGAUCUGGGGGUCCGCUUCCUGCAGCCCUUUGUCAACUUGCUCUCAAAGGCGACGUAUUGGUGGAUGAACCCCCUGAUCAUGGGGGCCCACAAGAGACCCAUCGAGCUGAAGAAGAUCGGCAAACUGCCCAUCGCCAUGCGAGCUCUCACCAACUACCUGCGACUUAAAGACGCCUACGAGGACCAGAGGACGGCCGAGAACCCGGAGCGGGCGCCGUCCAUCUGGCGCUCCAUGUAUCGGGCGUUCGGGCGACCCAUCUUGCUCAGCAGCACCUUCCGCUACCUGGCCGACCUGCUGGGCUUCGCCGGCCCGCUCUGCAUCUCGGGCAUCGUCUGGAACCUCACGCCGGAGGGAGACGCCGGCUCCACUUCGGACAAAAAGGAGAGGUACUUUGGCGUCCACCACAUGCUGUUCACCGAGCUGCUCCAGAACACGUCGGUUCUGGCCGUGCUGCUCUUCCUGGCGCUGGUGCUGCAGAGGACCUUCCUGCAGGCGUCCUACUACGUCACCAUCGAAACCGGCAUCAACCUGCGAGGAGCCCUGCUGGCGAUGAUUUACAACAAGAUCCUGCGUCUGUCCACGUCCAACAUGUCCAUGGGCGAGAUGACGCUGGGCCAGAUCAACAACCUGGUUGCCAUAGAGACCAAUCAGCUGAUGUGGUUUCUCUUCCUAUGUCCCAAUCUGUGGGCCAUGCCUGUGCAGAUCGUGAUGGGAGUGCUUCUUCUUUACUACCUGCUUGGCUGGAGUGCCUUAGUGGGCGCGUCCGUCAUUGUUCUUCUGGCUCCGGUUCAGUACCUCAUUGCCACCAAGCUGGCCGACAUGCAAAAGAUCACCCUGGAGCACUCCACCGACAGGCUGAAGAAGACCUCGGAGAUCUUGAAGGGCAUCAAGCUGCUGAAGCUCUACGCUUGGGAGAACAUCUUCUGCGACAGCGUGGAGGAGACGCGAGGCAAAGAGCUGACCAGCCUCAAGACCUUUGCCUUCUACACUUCCAUGUCCAUCUUCAUGAACGCCGCCAUUCCCAUCGCCGCCGUCCUGGCGACCUUCGUCAUGCAUUACUUCCUCACCGACACGGGUCCGAGUCCCGCGGAGGCCUUUGCCACUCUGGCGCUCUUCAACAUCCUGGUCACGCCGCUCUUCCUGCUGUCCACCGUCGUCCGCUUCGCCGUCAAGGCGCUCCUCAGUGUCCAGAAGCUGGGCGAGUUCCUCCAAAGCGACGAGAUCGGAGACGACAGCUGGAGGAACGGCGAGGUGUCCGUCCCGUCCGAGGCGGCCAAGAAGCACCCUGGAGGGACCAAAGCCAUCAACAGGAAGCAGCCUCUCCGCUACCAGAUGGACAACUACGAGCAGCCGUCCAGGCGGCAGAUGAGACCCAGCGAGACGGAAGAUGUGGCCGUCAAGGUGAGCAACGGAAGCUUCACCUGGGGAAGCAACCUGUCCACGCUGAGCGACAUCAACAUCCGCAUCCCGACAGGUCAGCUGACCAUGAUCGUGGGCCAGGUGGGCUGCGGGAAGUCGUCGCUGCUGCUCGCCAUGCUGGGCGAGAUGCAGAGCAUCAGCGGCCGCAUCCACUGGAGCAACCACCUGGAAGCGGCGGAGGACGAGGCCGGUGACCACGCCGCAAGCAAGAACCGCUACUCGGUGGCCUACGCCACCCAGAAGUCGUGGCUGCUCAACGCCACGGUGGAGGACAACAUCACCUUUGGGAGUCCCUUCAACAAGCAGAGGUACAAGGCGGUGAUCGACGCCUGCUCUCUCCAGCUGGACAUCGACCUGCUGCCCUUCGGAGACCAAACGGAAAUCGGGGAACGAGGCAUCAAUCUGAGCGGCGGGCAGCGCCAGAGGAUCUGCGUGGCUCGAGCGCUCUACCAGAACACCAACAUCGUCUUCCUGGACGACCCCUUCUCCGCCCUGGACAUCCACCUGAGCGACCACCUGAUGCAGGACGGCAUCCUCAAGUUCCUGCAGGACGACAAGCGGACCGUGGUGCUCGUCACGCACAAGCUGCAGUACCUCAUCCAUGCCGACUGGAUCAUUGCUAUGAAGGACGGCUCCGUGUUGAGGGAAGGAACUCUGAAGGACAUCCAGACGCACGACGUGGAGCUCUACGACCACUGGAAGACGCUCAUGAACCGGCAGGACCAGGAGCUGGAGAAGGACAUUGAGCAGGACAGCCAAACCACCCUGGAGAGGAAGACUCUCCGCCGAGCCUUCUACCCCCGAGAGACCAAAAACCAGAUGGACGACGAGGAUGAAGAGGAGGAAGAGGAGGAGGAAGAUGAAGACAACCUGUCCACCACCACAAACAGGAGAUCCAAGGUCCCGUGGAAGGACUGCUGGUGCUACUUCUCCUCGGGUGGCUUCUUCAUGGUCUUCCUCAUGAUGUCCUCCAAGCUCCUCAAGCACUCGGUCAUUAUGGCCAUCGACUACUGGUUGGCCAUCUGGACCUCCGAGCACACCAACCAGACCAUGGUGGUGGGAUCCAACGGGACGUGCCAGGUCCAAGCGGUCAACAAAAGCCCCGCCGACUCAGAGGACUCCUUCUACCUGACGGUGUUCAUAGUUCUUUGCGCGGCCGGGAUCGCGCUGUGCCUCAUCACCUCGCUCAGCGUGGAGUUCUUGGGGCUCUCUGCGGCCACCAACCUCCACCACAACCUGCUCAACAAGAUCAUCCACGCUCCUCUCAGGUUUUUUGACAUCACCCCCCUGGGGCAGAUCCUCAACAGGUUCUCAGCUGACACAAACAUCAUCGACCAGCACAUUCCUCCUACCCUGGAAUCCUUGACGCGCUCCAGCUUCCUUUGCUUGUCCGCCAUCGGUGUCAUUUCCACCAUCACGCCUUACUUCAUCAUCGCCCUGGUGCCCCUGGCCGUGGCCUUCUACUUCAUCCAGAAGUACUUCCGGGUGGCCUCCAAAGAUCUUCAGGACCUCGACGACUCCACGCAACUUCCCCUGCUGUGUCAUUUCUCCGAGACGGCUGAAGGUCUCACCACCAUCAGAGCCUUUAGACACGAGGCCCGCUUCAAGCAACGCAUGCUGGAGCUGACCGACACCAACAACACGGCGUACCUCUUCCUCUCGGCCGCCAACCGCUGGCUGGAGGUCCGCACGGACUACCUCGGAGCCGUGAUCGUGCUGGCCGCGGCCGGCGCGUCCAUCUGGGGUUUGGGUUGCGGCCAACCGACCGGAGGUCUGGUGGGCUUGGCUCUCACCUACGCCCUGACGGUCACCAACUACUUGAAUUGGGUGGUGAGGAACCUGGCCGACCUGGAGGUGCAGAUGGCGGCCGUCAAGAAAGUCAACAGCUUCCUCGGUACCGAGUCUGAGAACUACGAGGGAUCCAUGGAUUCUUCUCAGAUGCCGGAGACGUGGCCCGAGCACGGAGAAAUCAAGAUCCAAGACCUGUGCGUGCGCUACGACCCCAUGCUCAAACCCGUGCUCAAGCACGUCAACGCUUACAUCCAGCCGGGUCAGAAGGUGGGAAUCUGCGGCCGCACGGGAAGCGGCAAGUCCUCGCUCUCCUUGGCCUUCUUCAACAUGGUGGACAUCUUCGAAGGAAAGAUCGUCAUCGACGGCAUCGACAUCUGCAAACUUCCCUUGCAGACGCUGCGCUCUCGGCUGUCCAUCAUCCUGCAGGACCCCAUUUUGUUUAGUGGCUCCAUAAGGUUCAAUCUGGACCCGGAGCGGACGUGCAACGACGAGCGCCUGUGGGAGGCGUUGGAGAUCGCCCAGCUGAAGAACAUGGUCAAGGCGCUACCGGGAGGACUGGAUGCGGUGGUGACAGAGGGCGGCGAGAACUUCAGCGUGGGGCAGCGGCAGCUCUUCUGCUUGGCUCGGGCCUUUGUGAGGAAGAGCAGCAUCCUCAUCAUGGACGAGGCCACCGCCUCCAUCGACAUGGCAACGGAGAACAUCUUGCAGAAAGUUGUGAUGACGGCCUUUGCCGACCGCACCGUUGUGACCAUCGCCCACCGCGUCUCUUCCAUCCUGGAAGCUGGGCAGGUGCUGGUCUUCUCCUCUGGGAUUUUGGUGGAAUGUGACUCGGGUCCCAACUUGCUAGCACAGCAGGAGAGCCUCUUCAGUGUGCUCGUGCGAACACACAAGUAGAACCGGACCGGACCAGCCCACGUGGACUCGGCCCCACCCACUCCUAUUCUCUUUCCGUUUCUUCUUCUUCUUCUUCUCGCCACCGGGGGCUGGUUCUGGUCCUGGUUCUGCCAGAGACAACCUGCACCGCGUGCACACCAUCCUGACGGCCGACCUGGUGAUCGUCAUGAAGCGCGGGAACAUCCUGGAGUACGACAAGCCCGAGACGCUUCUGGAGCAGGAGGACGGCAUGUUUGCCUCCUUCGUCAAGGCUGACAUGUAGCCC